UUCAACGUGAGAGUUUGAUCCUGGCUCAGAGCGAACGCUGGCGGCAGGCUUAACACAUGCAAGUCGAGCGGGCACCUUCGGGUGUCAGCGGCGGACGGGUGAGUAACGCGUGGGAAC
rnacentral:rRNA from 1 species